rnacentral:rRNA from 1 species
AGGAUUCUCCCAGUAACGGCGAGUGAACGGAGAUCAGCCCAUCACCGAAGACUGGCAUUUGUGUGCACAAGUCAAUGUGGUGUUUAGGCGUGUGCCUGGGAUUGAGCACCUGCCCGAAGUCCAAUUUCGAUUGUGGCAUUGGAUAUUCCCCAGAGUGGGUGAAAGGCCCGUCCGGGUAGGCUAGUGCUAUUUACUGUUCAAUCCUCAGAUGCGCAUGUCAUCGAGUCGGAUUGCUUGAGAAUGCAGUCCAAAGUGGGUGGUAAACUCCAUCCAAGGCUGAAUACUGGCACGAGUCCGAUAGUAGACAAGUACCGUGAGGGAAAGUUGAAAAGUACUCUGAAGAGAGAGUUAAUAGUACGUGAAGCCAAAUUCAGGGAAGCUGGUGGAGUCAAGCUUCGUGCACGAGGAAUUGUGGUGGGCAUCCGGUUGUAGUGAAUAUGAGCGAGCGACCGGUCAACUUGUGAAACGGUUGGGCACAUUCGUGUGCAGCAAGUCAUCUCCGGGUGGAGUGUUUGCGUCCGGCCGUCGCGCUCAGAUGUCCGCUACCUAUUCUUCGUAUUAUGCACAGAUCAGGGUCAAUGAUAACGCGCUAUGUGAUGGCCUAAUGGCGUUUUGGUGAGCUUUCAGUUUGCCGGGCGCUUGACGGCAGGUGUCGAUCGGCCAGUCUCGUGCUGGUUGAUUCGAUUAAUGACGACUCUCGAGUCGCCGACCCUCACGUGUGUGUCGUUGGUCAUUGUUUCUCAAUGGGUGGCAGUUGCGAGACUGUCAUCUAGUUAGAACCCUGAUCCUGAGGUAGA